UACGUAGGGUGCAAGCGUUAAUCGGAAUUACUGGGCGUAAAGCGUGCGCAGGCGGUUUUUUAAGACAGGCGUGAAAUCCCCGGGCUUAACCUGGGAACUGCGCUUGUGACUGGAAGGCUAGAGUACGGCAGAGGGGGGUGGAAUUCCACGUGUAGCAGUGAAAUGCGUAGAGAUGUGGAGGAACACCGAUGGCGAAGGCAGCCCCCUGGGCCGAUACUGACGCUCAUGCACGAAAGCGUGGGGAGCAAACAGG
rnacentral:rRNA from 1 species